CGGGUGAGUAAAGCCUAGGAAUCUGCCUGGUAGUGGGGGGAUAACGUUCGGAAACGGACGCUAAUACCGCAUACGUCCUACGGGAGAAAGCAGGGGACCUUCGGGCCUUGCGCUAUCAGAUGAGCCUAGGUCGGAUUAGCUAGUUGGUGAGGUAAUGGCUCACCAAGGCGAUGAUCCGUAACUGGUCUGAGAGGAUGAUCAGUCACACUGGAACUGAGACACGGUCCAGACUCCUACGGGAGGCAGCAGUGGGGAAUAUUGGACAAUGGGCGAAAGCCUGAUCCAGCCAUGCCGCGUGUGUGAAGAAGGUCUUCGGAUUGUAAAGCACUUUAAGUUGGGAGGAAGGGCAUUAACCUAAUACGUUAGUGUUUUGACGUUACCGACAGAAUAAGCACCGGCUAACUCUGUGCCAGCAGCCGCGGUAAUACAGAGGGUGCAAGCGUUAAUCGGAAUUACUGGGCGUAAAGCGCGCGUAGGUGGUUUGUUAAGUUGGAUGUG
rnacentral:rRNA from 1 species